UCAUUUUCAUGUAGACUCUCUCUAGAUUAUGUUAAAAUCUUAUGAGCAUGAUUUAUUGCAUGCCAUUUCUUACUCAUAAUUAUGUUGUUGCCUAGUUCCAAAUGUUGUGUAUGGUGCUUAAAUUUUGAGUGAAGUAGAUUAUGUUAGUAAACAAUGUAUCUUGUCUGCUACAAGAAGUUCAGUCCUAUUAAAGUUCGUUCUUUGAAGGUGCAGCUUGUCUACUACAUGUGCUCUUGCACAUGUCAGCGUGAUGGACAUGCUGCAUUUCCACAAGUUCACCAUAGGAACUUGUGCAUUCUGAAGAUGAUAUCGUAAAGUUCUAUGAAGAAACUGGUUUACUUAUGGCAUUAAUGAAACUAUUGACCAUAUUCAAGGAGAUCCUCUCAAUAAGCUUAUGGCAUUUGUACACCCAGGAAUAGUUGCUGUUGUUAUUAAACUAAGUGUUGUUGAGGGGGUUUGAAAAUGCAGCAGUGAUUGUAAAAUACGCACAACAACAUGAAAAGAUGGCUGUUAUCAGUGUUGUAUAUGAAAGUAGCCUAAGUUUAGCAUCAUAUGUUCACUUUGCAUGCUAUCUUGAGCAGCAAAACAUGGAGAUCUGCAAGAUGAAGAAUAAGGAAUAGUGCCUAACUAUAGCCCAUGACCUUAUGAAGAAUGAGGGUGGAAGUGUUUUCUGUUGUUCUUUUCUAAUAUGGGCAACUAUUAUCUCCCUUUGGUCAUUCUUUUGAAUUAGGUUUGUGUUCAACCUUCUCUACCAUGUGGAAUUUGAGGAUUU